rnacentral:sRNA from 1 species
UCUCCCGAGCACCUGGGAUUACAGGUGCCCGCCACCACACCCAGCUAAUUUUUGUAUUGUUAGUAGAAACAGGGUUUUACCAUGUUGGCCAGACUGGUCUCGAACUCCCGACACCUGUCUCAGCCUCCCAAAGUGCUGGGAUUACAGGCAUGAGCCACUGCACCUGCCCCACAUCUGUGCUUGAAAGCCGGGUCUGGGUCUGGGACUCUGUCCCAGGGCACUCGGGAGCCACGGAAGAGUUGGGAGCCAGUGAGGAGCAGGGUCAGCUGGGGUGUGGGGGAUGAGCUGGAGGGGGAUGGAGACUGGAGGCAGGGAGGCUGUGGAGCAGCAGGCUGGGGCAUGGGUCCAGGAAGGGGAGGAUGAGGCCUAAGCAGUUCUAGGCUACAGGGACACAGAGGAGGGGAUAUGGCAAGGGGACACAGGUGGGGAGGGACAGGGCUCAUGACGGACAGGGUUUGGGGGUGAGGGGUACCCAGAGAGGGAGGCCAGGCUCCUGGGUGGAUGGUGGGGCCAUCCUGCAAUGGGGGCCUGGGGGAGGAGCAGGUUUGAGAUGUAGACCAGCCAAUGCCUGUCUCUAACCCAAAGGAGGGUGAUUCCAGGUAAGGUGAUGCACUGACCUCUGCCCCCGGAUGUGACCUCUGCCCCCCACUAUGACCUCUGCCCCCGGCUGUGACCUCUGCCCCAAGCCCACCUAUUCCCUCCCACCUAGAGAACCCUCCAAAGACAGAAACUGCAAAAACCCUUAGAGGCGAUAUAGCCCAAUCCCUCAGUUUGGAGUUGGGGAAACUGAGGCAAAGAGGCAGCGUCCCUCAGGCAGCCCCAGGUUAGGACCCAGACAUGCGGAUCCCAGGUUCCACGCUCCUUCCUUGGCCGAGUGCCCUCCCUCCGCUGACCCCUCUCCCCUGCCUGCAGGACUUACAGGGCUCCGUGGAGCGCAUCUGUGGGUUCCUGGGCCGUCCGCUGGGCAAGGAGGCACUGGGCUCCGUCGUGGCACACUCAACCUUUGGCGCCAUGAAGGCCAACACCAUGUCCAACUACACACUGCUGCCUCCCAGCCUGCUGGACCACCGUCGCGGGGCCUUCCUCCGGAAAGGGGUCUGCGGCGACUGGAAGAACCACUUCACGGUGGCCCAGAGCGAAGCCUUCGAUCGUGUCUACCGCAAGCAGAUGUGGGGGAUGCCGACCUUCCCCUGGGAUGAAGACCCGGAGGACGGCAGCCCAGACCCUGCGCCCAGCCCUGAGCCUGAGCCCAAGCCCAGCCUUGAGCCCAACACCAGCCUGGAGCGUGAGCCCAGACCCAACUCCAGCCCCAGCCCCGGCCCCGGCCCCGGCCAGGCCUCUGAGCCCCCGCACCCGAGACCCUGAGAAUAAACACGUCGCUUCUG